rnacentral:rRNA from 1 species
UACGUAGGGGGCAAGCGUUAUCCGGAUUUACUGGGUGUAAAGGGAGCGUAGACGGCAGCGCAAGUCUGGAGUGAAAUGCCGGGGCCCAACCCCGGAACUGCUCUGGAAACUGUGGAGCUGGAGUGCAGGAGAGGUAAGCGGAAUUCCUGGUGUAGCGGUGAAAUGCGUAGAUAUCAGGAGGAACACCAGUGGCGAAGGCGGCCUGCUGGGCUUUUACUGACGCUGAGGCUCGAAAGUGUGGGGAGCAAACAGG